ACAACACACACACUCGCACACAAGCACAGCCAGCCUCGGCACACAGACGCUGUACGAGCCUCACCGUGUGAACACUAACCAUGGCUGAAGGAGGAGAAGGCGAGGAUGAAAUCCAGUUCUUGCGUACUUGACAGGAAAACAAGCAAAGCAAAGAAAAGGAAACACACAGUGGAGAUCAGCAUGAUAUUCCAGAAUAAUGCUGUCCUUAUUUGGAUUCUCCUCUCUUAUGUCUUCAAUACAAAUCACUUUGACCUCUUCAGUAAAUCAGUCGGAUGAUGAAUGCUGCUUUCUCCAUGGGAGUAAGGGACAGAUUGAAAUAUCCUCA
ensembl:lncRNA